UCGAACGCGAAAGUCCCGCAAGGGAUCAGUAGAGUGGCAAACGGGUGAGUAACGCGUGGGUGACCUGCCUUCGAGCGGGGGAUAACGUUCCGAAAGGGACGCUAAUACCGCAUAACAUCCUGUCUUUUAAGAGGUGGAGAUCAAAGCCUGGGACCGCAAGGCCAGGCACUCGAAGAGGGGCCCGCGUCCGAUUAGCUAGUUGGUGGGGUAAUGGCUCACCAAGGCUCCGAUCGGUAUCCGGCCUGAGAGGGCGGACGGACACACUGGGACUGAGACACGGCCCAGACUCCUACGGGAGGCAGCAGUGGGGAAUUGUUCGCAAUGGGCGCAAGCCUGACGACGCAACGCCGCGUGGAGGAUGAAGAUCUUCGGGUCGUAAACUCCUUUCGAUCGAGACGAACGGCUUCCGGGUAACAUCCGGGAGAGUGACGGUACCGAGAGAAGAAGCCCCGGCUAACUCCGUGCCAGCAGCCGCGGUAAUACGGGGGGGGCAAGCGUUGUUCGGAAUUACUGGGCGUAAAGGGCUCGUAGGUGGCCAACUAAGUCAGACGUGAAAUCCCUCGGCUUAACCGGGGAACUGCGUCUGAUACUGGAUGGCUUGAGUUUGGGAGAGGGACGCGGAAUUCCAGGUGUAGCGGUGAAAUGCGUAGAUAUCUGGAGGAACACCGGUGGCGGAGGCGGCGUCCUGGACCAACACUGACACUGAU
rnacentral:rRNA from 1 species